GUCCUCGUAGUUUAAUGGAUAGAACGGCCCCUCCUAAGGGGUCGGUACAGGUUCGAUUCCUGUCGGGGACGCCA
rnacentral:tRNA from 2 species